rnacentral:lncRNA from 1 species
AAGAAAGUAAUAGAUAACCAAUGUUUGAUCUCGGAUUCUGACCAUAUUGAAAGGACAAAAACUUUCUAAUUUUUACUAAAAGGUAAUCAAAUGAAGUGCAAGACCUCUAAGGGUGUAUAUUCACUUGCCUUUCAUAUUCCACAUGAACCAAGAUGACUAGUGAUUGCUAAACAAUAGGCUCUCCUUUGCCCAUUUCUAAUUCAGGAAUGAUAGUACCACAAAAGGUAGAUUUGAUUAUGAUUAGUCAACUCAGAUGCUAUGAUUUGAAGAGAAAUGGGAAAAAUGUCCCUCAACUAAAGAACAUUAUCCCAUGAGCACAAUUCGUAGAAGAAACUGAUGAACCAUAAAUAGAUGAAUAGAUGACAUUCAAGGCAAAAUAAAUCUCACUAUACCUCUUUCCUCGUUCAAUUUCCAGAAUAAAUUAGUGCAAAAAAAUGAAGAUUGAAGAAUGAAAAAUUGAAAAUUUAUGAACAUGUUGAAGUCUUGAUUUGAAAUGUGGAUAGCCGAUCUCAGUUCUCACAGGCCACAUCUGAUCUGGCGAUCUCACAGGCGACAGCGUAAAGCCGAUCUUUGACUUUUUCAGUAAGGAGUCGUG